rnacentral:rRNA from 1 species
UUGGAGGGCAAGUCUGGUGCCAGCAGCCGCGGUAAUUCCAGCUCCAAUAGCGUAUAUUAAAGUUGUUGCAGUUAGAAAGCUCGUAGUUGAAUUUCGGGGUCAGUAGGUUGGUCAUGCCACUGGUAUGUACUGGUCUCACUGAUUCCUCCUUCCUGAUGAACUGUAAUGCCAUUAAUUUGGUGUUGCAGGGAAUCUGGACUGUUACUUUGAAAAAUUAGAGUGUUUAAAGCAGGCAUGGAAUAAUGAAAUAGGACGUUCGAUCCUAUUUUGUUGGUUUCUAGGAUUGACGUAAUGAUUAAUAGGGAUAGUUGGGGGCAUUAGUAUUCAAUUGUCAGAGGUGAAAUUCUUGGAUUUAUUGAAGACUAACUACUGCGAAAGCAUUUACCAAGGAUGUUUUCAUUAAUCAAGAACGAAAGUUAGGGGAUCGAAGACGAUCAGAUACCGUCGUAGUCUUAACCAUAAACUAUGCCGACUAGGGAUCGGAUGAUGUUAAUUUUUUUAAUGACUCA